rfam:Myotis brandtii contig323718, whole genome shotgun sequence.
AGGACUGAAGAGAGAAGCAGGGUCUGAUCCGUAGUUUCUGUGGCAGCUGUUGAUCAGCACUUGUCUCUCUCUUUCUCUCCA